AGCCUGAGGGGUUUAUAUUGCUGUCAAACCUCCCGGCAAAAUCUGAACCGCUUGCCGAAGCAGUCACGUGGUACAGCCGGGUAGCGAGGCUUCGGACGUCAUCAUUUUUGGCUCCUCCCCUACAUGAAGCAAGCCUCGAUACGCGCUUCGAGGAAACGCCCCCUCCAUUACUCGACACACGCUUCGAAGCGUCGGCACAUCUCGUAACAACACUACUAGAAAGCUCUUUCCCUGGGUUUUUCCACAAGGAAAAGUUACCUUGGAAAGCGAGAGUUCCAGAGUCUAAAGACCUGUGGCACCUCGUCUACUAAAACCUGGAGGCCUUUUAGUUAUGCAUUCUUGUUAAACCUUCAUUCAGAGACAACCUCAAGCUGAAGAGUUUGAACUCUAAACAUGUCCAAGGAUACGGACCAUGAAGAGUUCUUCGGACUACUACAAAUUGUCUAUCCGAAGAUGCAGAAGCUGACCGGAGGAUGGCUUAUGUACAAGGCUACAGGUGGAGAAAGCUUGCAUGGAUUCCGAGAUGGCAGCAGAGGAUUUUGAGGUUCAAAACUAUUGGCCUGGAUUUGGCUCCAUGCGUCAGCCGCUCUGUUUGGCGCUCUAUCGCGACGCUGUGAGCUCAUUGGUCCGUGAGACAGGAUGUGAAAAGGAGGGGGUCGACAUGAUGCAAAGAAGAGGCUCUUCAGACGGAGGCGCGCCUGUUUCGAGCUGGAUGAUGACUGAUCUCAGUCGUAUUUGACCUCCUAGAGAGAAGGAAGGAGCGGACCCAACAAGACCUUCAGGUUCAGGCAAAUCACGAGAGAGGCGACAGCAGUUUGCAACCAGCAUUUUAUUACAUGUCAUCUUCGAGGGCGCUGGAGACGGACUGAAUCAAACUGAUCACACCGGAUCGAUGUUGCCCUGCCAAUCACAAGUUCACAAGCAUCCAUUAAAAAUGCACAAAAUCCUGCUGCACAUUGUGUGGCUUUAACCCUUCAACCUCUUCUGGGCUCGGUUCUUCCUUCAACACACAACCCUCUUACUCCCUCCCGUCUUACCUGCUGGGGCUUGGCACAG